rnacentral:rRNA from 1 species
GCAGGUACCGUCCCUUCGGAGAAGAGAACCUCCCCGACACUCGUCCCUACUGACAGUGCUUUACACCCCGAAGGGCUUCGUCACACACGCGGCGUCGCUCCAUCAGACUUUCGUCCAUUGUGGAAGCCUCUAG